CGGGGGGUGCUGUUUGCUUACAAUCCGACCCUGCUUCGUGUACAAAUGCAAUGUCAUUUCGGCAGGGCUAUAGGCUACGAAACCUUUCGAACUCGAAAAGGCACUACUAAUUUUGAAUAGAUCGAUGAAACUCGUCAAGCGGAAUCCGAGAAGAAAAAUGACGGAUGUGCUGUUUGCUGAUAGUCCAGAACGGCUUCGUGUACAAAUGCAUGGCGGGGAGACCAGAAAGUUUUCGAAACUGCGUGAGUGGAAGUCUGCGUUGGACAAAUUUUGAAAAUAUCUGAAGGUUUAACGAAUUUUGGAGAAUUCGACAGAGCUACAGACUACGAAACCUUUCGAAACGAACACACGUGUCCUGUUGAACUUGAAAAAAACGAAAUUAUUUUUAAAAAGAUCAUGGUAACUCGUGAAGCAACAUCUCAGAAUUGAAUCGGGGAAUGAGGAAUCAAAAAAAAGGUUAACAAUUUGGAUCAUUUUGGAAGAUACAUACGCCGCGCUUUUCAAAGCGGACAGACGUGCCCUUGUCCAACUGAAACGAACACACGUGUCCUGUUGAACUUGAAAAAAGACGAAAUUAUUUUUAAAAAGAUCAUGGUAACUCGUGAAGCAACAUCUCAGAAUUGAAUCGGCGAGUUGUGUAUUUGCUGCCAAUCCGAGCCUGCUUGGAUCAUUUUGGAAGAUACAUACGCCUGCGCUUUUCAAAGCGGACAGACGUGCCCGUGUCCAACUUGACAAAGGCGGAAUUAUUUUA